CCACAAGGCUGGGCUGGGGCCACUGCAGGGUGACUCCCCUGCAGGCUCAGGAAGAGCUCCCGAAGAUCUUGUCAUAUUUAAACUCAGACUCGGCUGUUGAGACAGAGCUGGCCACAUGGGGAAGGGGGAAGCCACCACCAAAGGCACAGAAGAAUAUUGUGACACAAGAUAUAACGUGGAUGGACCUUGACGACAUGUUCAGUGCAAAAGCCAGUCAAAAGAAGACAACUACUGUGCGAUUCCACUCACAUGAGGUUCCUAGGACCAUCGGAGCCAGAGAUGGAAGGGAAGAUGAAGAUUCAAUUAAAAAAAACAGGAAGAAUAUUGUGACACAAGCUAUAACGUGGAUGGACCUUGACGACAUGUUCAGUGCAAAAGGCCGUCAAAAGAGGACAACUACUGAGUGACCCACUCACAUGAGGUUCCUAGGACCAUCGGAGUCAGAGAUGGAAGGGAAGAUGAAGGCCUGUUAAGAGAAGCAGGGAAGCUGCGUGGGGGUCGCCAUCGUGUGUAGGUGCAGAGAGGCGCACAGCAGACCAGCCCCUGGGACGCUCACCCUGAGGCCAGCCCAGCAGCCCGCCUGAUGCACCGCCACCCGCCGCUGGUGGAGGAACCCCCUUGGCCACCCCACCAACCAUCGCGCCACCGAGCUGCGCUUGGAGGAGAGAGCUGAGAAGUGCCAACAGGGUUUAAAACGGGGGCCUAGUUUAAUGUUUACAUUAAUAAAUAUUUU